UCGGGAAUUUUGGGCAAUGGGCGAAAGCCUGACCCAGCAACGCCGCGUGAAGGAUGAAGUAUUUCGGUAUGUAAACUUCGAAAGAAUAGGAAGAAUAAAUGACGGUACUAUUUAUAAGGUCCGGCUAACUACGUGCCAGCAGCCGCGGUAAUACGUAGGGACCAAGCGUUGUUCGGAUUUACUGGGCGUAAAGCGUGCGCAGGCGGUUAUGCAAGACAGAUGUGAAAUCCCCGGGCUCAACCUGGGAACUGCAUUUGUGACUGUAUAGCUAGAGUACGGUAGAGGGGGAUGGAAUUCCGCGUGUAGCAGUGAAAUGCGUAGAUAUGCGGAGGAACACCGAUGGCGAAGGCAAUCCCCUGGACCUGUACUGACGCUCAUGCACGAAAGCGUGGGGAGCAAACAGGAUUAGAUACCCAGGUAGUCCCUGAGCGGGCUGGCAAGGCGCAU
rnacentral:rRNA from 1 species